GACGUAGGAUGCAAGCGUUGUCCGGAUUUAUUGGGCGUAAAGGGCGCGUAGGCGGUUAGUACAGUCAGGCGUGAAAUUCCUGGGCUCAACCUGGGGGCUGCGUUUGAUACGUAUUGUCUGGAGUUCGGAAGAGGGUCGUGGAAUUCCCAGUGUAGAGGUGAAAUUCGUAGAUAUUGGGAAGAACACCGGUGGCGAAGGCGGCGACCUGGUCCGAUACUGACGCUGAGGCGCGAAAGCGUGGGGAGCAAACAGG
rnacentral:rRNA from 1 species